AUUGGAUUUCAAGGAAUUAAGCAAGUAAAUGUGGUGAAACUUCUGAUAAGGGUAAGGAGAUUGUACUUGAAGACCAAGACUAGGAGUACUUCGACUCCCGAUAUUGAUUAGGACAGUCCGUAAAUAGCUGAUUUCGUCGAGGGUUAUUAUUGGACUCACCUCAUCAGAACUUGUAGGUCCACAGCCUUUGUUACCUUUAGUCAUUUAGGGGCCCACACGUCAUUGUAAAUUAAAUUACAUACUCUGGUUAUCUGUGUUACUGUAUGUAUAGAUUUAUUUU
rnacentral:sRNA from 1 species